UAGACUGUAGUUUCAGAGACCAUUUCUAGAGUACACUACUGGAGAAGUUUCUCUGAUUGUGUACAGCACCCAGAACCAUGAGGAGGAGCCAGAGAGAGAAUCCUCCCCUGAGCCUGAGGCCAGUUCUAGGUGCUGCUUUUGCAACUGCAUUUUACCAUUGAUGAUCCUUCUUCUCUUCCUUUGGAAGAGGGGUAGGGGGAGGGUGCAGUCUGAGUGG
rnacentral:snoRNA from 1 species